rnacentral:piRNA from 1 species
UGAGGUAGUUCUUCAUGAGAUGGUUGG